CCAAACUUGGUCAUUUAGAGGAAGUAAAAGUCGUAACAAGGUUUCCGUAGGUGAACCUGCGGAAGGAUCAUUAUCGUAGGGGGUAACCCCCCCUUUGAGAUGCCACCCUUGCUUUAUACCCAAAAGUAUCCCACUCGGCGGGCCUGCCCGCCGGCGGAGUAAACCAAACCUUUCACUGUAAUAGUAGUACCUCUGAUAGACAAACAAAAAGUCAAAACUUUCAACAACGGAUCUCUUGGUUCUGGCAUCGAUGAAGAACGCAGC
rnacentral:misc_RNA from 1 species